GCUGUAUGGUGCAGUCGGUUGCGCUUUUGGCUAUUAACCAGAUGGGACCCCUGGGUUCGAACCCCCGCUAGUG